rnacentral:rRNA from 1 species
GAAGAGAGAGUUCAAGAGUACGUGAAACCGUUCAGGGGUAAACCUGAGAAACCCAAAAGAUCGAAUAGGGAGAUUCAUCGUCAACGGCGUUGGCUUCCGUGCGGCUCGUGAUGCUGCGGCAUCUUCGAUGACGCGGCACGCGGUCGCUGCGGCAUGACUGGCGUCCGUCGGCGUGCACUUCUCCCUUAGUAGAACGUCGCGACCCGUUGGGUGCUGGCCUACGGCCCGAUUGGUCGACUGUCUCGCUUACGCUAGACAGACCAUUGGUUUCGCCCGGCCGGCUGCCCGGCGGUAUUGAACGCUUAUACACGAUUGGUAUUGGGCCGCAUUGAAUGCGUUCCGGCUCGUCGGCAGGUCCGUCUCGCUUGGUUUUUACGGGCCUCGAUUACCGUGACCGAGCGCUUGGCGCGACCGUUAGUCGGCGAUGUCCUCGAACCGGCUCAUUUCACAUAUUCUGUCGAAUAUAUGAAAAAUUACCGGUCUGCGACGCUUU